rnacentral:rRNA from 3 species
CUGCCACCGAAUACAUUAGCAUGGGAUAAUGGAAUAGGACCCUGUCCUCCUAUUUUCAGUUGGUUUUGGCAGCGCGAGGACUAGGGUAAUGAUUAAUAGGGAUAGUUGGGGGCAUUAAUAUUUAAUUGUCAGAGGUGAAAUUCUUGGAUUUAUGAAAGAUUAACUUCUGCGAAAGCAUCUGCCAAGGAUGUUUUCAUUAAUCAAGAACGAAAGUUAGGGGAUCGAAGACGAUCAGAUACCGUCGUAGUCUUAACCAUAAACGAUGCCGACCAGCGAUUAGGAGACGUUGAAUACAAAACACCACCAUCGGUGCGGUCGUCCUUGGCGUCGGUCUUUCGGGGCCGGCGCGGGGACGGCUUAGCCCGGUGGCACCGGUGAAUGACUCCCUAG